rnacentral:tRNA from 1 species
GAGGCUUUAGCUUAAUUAAAGCGUCUGUUUUGCAUACAGAAGAUGUGGGUUAGAUCCCUGUAAGUCUUA